UUUCUAUUUGCUUUUGGGUUGAUUUGCAAGUCUGGUGAUGUGUUCUAAUCAUCUAAUUAGCAUGUCAAUAGCAUGUAUUGCUAUGAAAGAGUGAUGGAUUGCAUUUUCUUUUUGGUAAUAGAUGCAUUACAUGUUUCAUUCUUAAUUUAUAUUUAUGUAAUGAGAUAAUUUUGUUUCGUGUCCACUUGUUUUCCACAUUUCCAAUCUUUCGGACUAUGAAACACAAUUCCUACAAUGAAAUCUUUUAUACUCUUCACACAUCUGCAAUUCAGUAUACAAGAAAAGUUUAAGUUAAAAUGAAAUAUUAUUGUUAAUCCCAACUUACUAACAGUUAUUGUCAACAUCUUUGAAAUCAUGCAUCCAAUUAAGAGUAUAACGAGAAUUUAGACAGUUUCAGGGAUGAGACAUCCAUCAAUAUUGGAAGUUGAAGAAUAUUUGAUUUCCUUGACUUGCAGCAAUUUGUUACAUUCUAAACUUUGACAUUACAACUAUGGUUUCUGUAUUGUCUAAGUACAGAAUGCCCUUGUAUGUACCCAUAAUUGGUUGAAUAGUUUUAAAGAUGUUGUACCUCUUGGCAAGUUAUAUUAGUAAGAGAAAUGUUA
rnacentral:lncRNA from 1 species